UCUCUGCUGAUGGUCCCCACCCAGUCUCUCCUUCUCUGUGGGCACAUCAGUAGUCAACAAACCCAAUCCUGAUGGUCCCUUGAGUCAGGCACUGCUGAUCACAUGAAGAUGGUGGCUAUUUUGCUUGGAGGAACAGGCUCUAUAAUAGUGUCCAAAGACCAGACGCCUAGAAGUUCCUGGACAUCAUCCGCAGCCUCAGCCAGUCUCUGCCACAAUGAGUGCUGGGUGAGCGAAUGAUCUCAUCAACCAGCCUCUCACAGCAGUGAACGUGGGGCACAAGACCUUGGACCCAAUGUCCAUGCUACAACUCACAAGACCUACCUGUUUUGUCCUUGCAGCCUGAACCUUGCAUGUACACAUGCAGAAGUUUGCUUAUUCUUAACAAGCUAACCCCUUGUAUACCUGCUGUGACCAUUAACCUUGACUGUCAACUUGCCGGACUUAGGAUCAUCAUGGGAACAGCCCUUGGGCAUAUCUGUGGAAGCAUUUCUAGGUGAAUUGGGGUGGGGGAGCCUAUCCUAAACAUGAAUGGCAUCAUUCCAUGGGUUGGGUUCUUCACUGAAUAAAAAGAAGGAAGCAAA
rnacentral:lncRNA from 1 species